rnacentral:rRNA from 1 species
GACCUCGGAUCAGGUAGGAAUACCCGCUGAACUUAAGCAUAUCAAUAAGCGGAGGAAAAGAAACUAACCAGGAUUCCCCCAGUAACGGCGAGUGAAGCGGGAAGAGCUCAAUAUUGUAAUCGCUUUGGCGAAUUGUAGUCUUGGGAGGGUGUGACCAUCUGGGGCCCCGGUCCAAGUGUCCUUGGAAGAGGUCGUCAUGGAGGGUGACAACCCCGUCUGUGGCUGGGUGCCCCCAGAGUACGGUCUGCUCUCACAGAGUCGAGUUGCUUGGGAUUGCAGCUCAAAGCGGGUGGUAAAUUCCAUCUAAAGCUAAAUAUUGGCGAGAGACCGAUAGCGAACAAGUACCGUGAGGGAAAGAUGAAAAGAACUUUGAAAAGAGAGUGAAAAAGUACGUGAAAUUGUUGAAAGGGAAGCGUUUAUGACCAGACUUGGGCUUGGUUAAUCAUCUGGGGUUCUCCCCAGUGCACUUUUCCAGUCCAGGCCAGCAUCAGUUUUCGCCGGGGGAUAAAGGCUUCGGGAAUGUGGCUCUCUCCGGGGAGUGUUAUAGCCCGUUGCGUAAUACCCUGGCGGGGACUGAGGUUCGCGCAUCUGCAAGGAUGCUGGCGUAAUGGUCAUCAACGACCCGUCUUGUAACACGGACCAAGGAGUCUGACAUGUGUGCGAGUCAACGGGUGAGUAAACCCGUAAGGCGUAAGGAAGCUGAUUGGUGGGAUCCCCUUGUGGGUUGCACCGCCGACCGACCCUGAUCUUCUGUGAAGGGUUCGAGUGAGAGCAUACCUGUCGGGACCCGAAAGAUGGUGAACUAUGCCUGAGCAGGGCGAAGCCAGAGGAAACUCUGGUGGAGGCUCGCAGCGGUUCUGACGUGCAAAUCGAUCGUCAAAUUUGCGUAUAGGGGCGAAAGACUAAUCGAACC